CACAUACUUGGAAGCUUACUUAAAUCAUUUCAAAAUACUCCUCUGUGUUGUAUCAAAGCCUUCAGCCAUCUUUCCACUCUCUAUCCUGUUAUGGGCUUUACCAUGUGGGGAUUUUUGGCUACUCCAGACUCAUUUUCCACACAGUCAGCUUCCAAGCUCAUUUCCCAGAGAAGAUUUUCAGGUUGGAAGUGAUUUCUUGAGCAACUCGAGCCCAAGCAGUGUAUCUCCUUUGCUCUCUCAUGCCUUGCAAAUUGUAAAGCUGGGACUGUUACUGAUUACUCUACAAGCAGCCAAGCUCUGGCACUGCAAUGUAUCUCUACAUCCAUGGGUCAUACUCUGGGUGACUAGAACAAAAUCAUAGAAUCAUUAAGGUUGGAAAAGAUUGCUAAGAUCAUCCAGUCUAACUGCCAGCGCAUCUCCACCAAGCCCACUUACCCACGUCUCUCAGUGCCACAUAUACCCUUUCUUGAACACCUCCAGGGACCCUUAUGAUGACAGUGCUACCAUGGGAGUGAACCUGUCUCAAGAACAAUACCUGUAGGUUUCCAGAUCAUUCCUAAAUGAUAGCACAGGGAGAGAAGGAAAAGACAGAUGCAAGUGGGCAGUUUACAACUGUUGGUGCUCAGCCAUAGGUUUUGUUCAUAGGCUUUGUUGGAAUGGAGAAUAUGCGGGAUGCCUAAUUGCCAUGAAAUAGAUGCAGUGAGGCUCAGGUUAAGGCUCGGGGAGAUGGAUUUGCUCCACACCGUUCUCCUGUGCUGUUGUUUCAGGAAGGAAGAAGAAGUUUUCAGUUACUCAACUGAAUAUUGACAAAGUUGAGAAAUCCUGAGCCUUAAAAGAUCAGAAGCCAAGCAGUGAAUAGAAAGAUCUCAAACAGUUUUAUUUGCCCAUACUUGUGAUUUGAGUUUUCCUGAAGAGUCCUGUGUUAACUAAAAAUCAUUAUUUCUUCUCCUUCCCUCCCCCCCCCAGUAAAAACAAUCCCUAAGGGAGGAAGUGAGAACUCUGAAGUUCACAGUCAUUGGCACUUCACAGUGAAGCUGCACACACAGAAUGAACAUCAGAAGAGACAUUUAGAGGUGAUUCUUACCAAGCAUUGAAAUCCCUUUUUAAAAUAACCUAGAAAGACUUUUCUGGGACACUUUCCCUGAACAAGGCCCUGUUCUUCUGGCUAUCUGAAGCUCUGCACUUAAAAAUCAUUGUUCACCCUGAAACGCUUCUAGCACUUAGUGCUUAAAGUGCAAGACAAGUGGAAUAGGGGUGACUAUGUAUCAGAGCGAUCCAAGAAACACAGCCUAACCUUUUAUAUCACCUCAAAUGUCAUCUGAACCCACAGUUUCUGGCAAAAAUUUUAUCACGCCACAGGGCAUGCCUAGAGCAGCCACCAGCUCAGCUGUCCUAAAACUAUGUCCCUUGACUUCAGCGUUAGGCUGAGUGGGAUUGUUUUAAGAUACUACCUCAAGAUAAAUCUUAUGAAGGGCUGCAGACCACUGAAAAUACUCAGAUGAAUUACUGGUUCAGAAGAGUGGCUGCCCAGAGAGGUUGGGCAGUCUCCAGCCUCUAAGACUCAACUGGAACAAGCCUUGAAGCAAACCAUUCUGACAUCAGAAUUGAUCCUGGUGCAAACAGGAGGCUGGAUGAGAGAUGAAGGCUCUUCCCACCUGUGCUGCCCAUGAUAAUAACAUGGAGGUUGAAAUUUGGUUCUCUCAAGUGGAGAUGUCAGCAGCAGGAGCUGAGAAGUGAAACGUGCCUGCUGACCACUGGGAUUUCAGUCAGACCCAUUCCAGUCACAGAGCACAUCGAGACACUUUUGCUGCCUGGGUGUGCCCCCAUGAAAAAUGUUUUUACUUCAUUGCAGUCUUAGUAUGAGAAGGGUUUGUGCUAAGUCAUGCAAAAUUGUUAAUGCAACAUUAUUACGUCCCCUUUCUAGUUGCCUUCCUUCAAAGUUUCCCUCAUUUCUGGCUCAAUCUUAAGCAACAUACAAAUUAAAAUCUUUAAAAAUCCUUUCUAGUGCUUCUUGUUUUCUCCACUUUCAUUGUCCAGUUCUUCUCAGUCUUCCCUACAUGGGAACCAUCUCUGCCCCCAGAUAAAUGCUUUGUGAAUUGAUUCUCUUUGUCCCUAAAGCUUUCCCUUGGCAGUAAGAAAAUCCAGAUCCCAACAUCCUGUGACAAUCAACUAGGAUAAAACAUACUGCUUUGCAGUAUGGACUGUACAGGGAAUGUGCUCCCUAUCCAAGAGGAGAUGAAAGGCUGAAACAUGGCUCAAA